AUGGCCGAUGUCCAGCGCAAUGAUCUAGUGGCCACAACAAUCUGGUAUGUAUGGUGGGAACGACGCAAAUACACACACGGUGAGAACAUCUAUGAGUCAGCAAGGUCGGCCCAAGCUAUAUCAACUUUAGUGCAGAACUUUUCACAAGCAAGGUUGAAGCAAACUAAAAUUAAAAGACAUGGCUGGUGCAAGCCGCCUGAGGGCGUCAUCAAACUUAAUGUCGAUGCAACUUUUGAUCAGGACACUGGUACAGGGGGUACGGGAGCAGUGCUGCGUGAUGAGGCCGGUUUCUUUGUCGCUGCUUCCUGCAGUGAUAUACCCUUUGUGGAAGACGCAGCGACGGCAGAGGCUAGAGGACUACGAGAUGGCCUCCUACUAGCGAAUGAAGUUGGUUGCAACAAAAUCUAUGUCGAAGCGGACUGUCUGGAGGAGUCUUGUACUUCCAAAAGGUGGAUAAUUGGUGAUGCAGAGAAUGGAAAAUAUCUCACUGGUAUGGACCCUUACAUUGUUUUCAACCCACUUAGCGGAUUAAAGGCAACUCCGACACAGUUCACCAAACCAGAUAUCACCAGAUGUCUACGGACACAUCCAGACGUGUCCACGAACAUGGUCGGGCAGAGUCCGUUCAACCGCAGUCACUGA
rnacentral:rRNA from 1 species